rnacentral:misc_RNA from 1 species
AAGUCGUAACAAGGUUUCCGUAGGUGAACCUGCGGAAGGAUCAUUACCAAAUCCAAAUACUAAACCCCUUUAACCCAAGUUUACCAUUUAUCGUUGGGAGUAAUACAUAGUUGUACAUAUGUACGCUUUGUAUUUUCUCCCAGUCGAUGCUUCUACCAUAGUGUGGAAACGAUUGUUUCUUAUCACUAUGUGUAGCGCCGUGUUAGCGUGUACUCCACGCUAGCUGGCAUGUUGAACCAACCACUUGUUAUUUAUUGGAACAAACUUUUAUUAAUUUAAUAAAAGACAACUUUUAACGGUGGAUCUCUUGGCUCGU